ensembl:lncRNA
GGGAGAGGUCGGGCUAAAUUGCACAGAUAAGAUCAAUAUGUAGUUAUGGGGUGUGGCUGCUCCUUUUUUACAAUGAACACUGUAUAACAUUGCAUUAGCUCUACGCGGUGUUAAAUGGAUUAUUCUUAAGAUGGGAUGUGGAGAGCUUAUCUGUCAAAGAAUAACAUUUUAGGACAAUCAGUGAUCACUUCACACUUAUUUUUUCUUCAGGAUGCAUCAAAGAACUUUAAAGGCACUGAAGGCAAGUUUGGCUGGCCAUUUGAACUGGGAUGAACCUUUCUCCUCGAGCCUAACUGCUCCAGCCACAGCCAACUCACCAUCACGGACAAAACAUUGGCUGAUUGAGAGGGCUUCAAAGAGUGGGACGUCUCUACAAAGCAAUGACUCGAGCUUCAGAAGCAGCUACAAACAGAGACACUCAUGGCCACCAGCCACGGUGUGCCUCUCGACGUGAUGUAAAUGUGUGAUAGGAUAGUCACUCUGAGUAAAUUGAGGGCUGUAUGUUGGAUGAAGGUGCACUCUUAAAAAAACAGAUUAUAAAAAUGGGUUCACCUGAGAACACAAACCACGACAAAGCAUGCUGUUGCUUUGGCCACAAAAUAAAUCACAUUAUUUGGUGAAGAACGCAGACGCUGAACUUCACUGGGAUAUUUAGAUAAAACUGAGUGGAAACAGAAUGAAUUAGUUCGACCCAAGCCAACACUGUACCGUAAAAAAGUAACCCCAGGCUGAAAGGCAAUAUUUUUUCUGUCCUAGACGCUAUCAACAGAAAACAACACUGAUAACGGACAAUUCUGCAAAAGGGAAAGUACUGGAAACUAAUACGUGCUUCAGGGGUAAAUUAUUUAAUUAAGGUACGCAAAACUGGGCGUAGUUUAGGUGCAACUAAGGAGUGAAUCAAGAGCAAAUUAAUUAAUGCAUCGUUAAUGAGUAAUUCCUGAAAAACUGUGAUACCUGGACUAUAUAGUAGAGAACAGAGGUAGCAAAAGCACACACAUUCUUUAGUCAAGUAGAAGUACAGGUACUUGUGUAAAGAAAUACUGUGGCAAAGGAAAAGGUAUGAAAGUAAAAAGUAUCCCUCUGAAAGAAAUUUAUACCGUCUCAUCUCCCUCCACUUUAUUCAGAAGGGCACAAAAAGAAUAACUAAUGAUUAAGUAAUUAAUGAGUUGUUAGUAUUUCUUUUUAAGAAGGUGAGCAGUUUCUUGACCCACAGAUAUUAAUUAAGUAAUUAUUACCUAACGAUUCAUUAAUGUAGUACCUCCCAGUCUCUUAACUCGUAACUCACUAUUAUUUACAAGUCCUGGACUGACCAUUAUUGAGGAAUUACUAAUUCAUGAUUCAUAGCACUCACAAGUUCGUGAACCUUAUUGUAAAAGGUUACAGAUUAAGGUCAGGAAAUCUGCAUUAAAUUGCCGCCUACAUCUGUGACCUGACUGAUGAAUCACUUUAAACUCCAUGGGAGUGCUUACAUCCAACAAAAAGACAAGAUAUUCUUCAACUAUGAUAAUAGUGUUCACACAUGUUUAAGACGAUGUGAUUUUAGUGAAACGAAAAUUAAAUAACCUGAUAUUUUCCUAAAGACAUGACAAGGCAGCUAUUAAAUAUUUUCUUCCUAACUGUGUUGAACAGGAUGAGAUGAGUCAUAAACACCUUUUUGUAUAAACAAUGAGGCAACACACAUCUUUUUGCAGUUUGAAAUCCGAGUGCAAUACUGCCACAUGCUGCUGCACAAAUGUUCCCUCAUCUGGUGAAACAUAAAAAAAUGUAAAACGUUAUUUUUUUGCACACAUGUGCUGUAUGAGGGAAGCAAUUUUCACAUCACACUAGCGGCAGGCUUUUUGUUAUAAAUGGAGUACAUUCCUCCUUUCAAAUUUAGGCAUUACUUUGUCCUCUCAAUAUUUAAAGCAUGGCAACAAAAGCAGUUGGUGACACACUGUGUGUUUGAUUGCCAUUGUAAUCCUGGCAAAAUGAUCCUGAAAAAAUGUAUAAAAAGCGAGGUGCUAAUUAUUUAUUGAAACCAUUGUUAAAUUAUUUUUUUCUGAAAAGAAAUUAAUGAAUUGAUCUUCGAAAUGGGUUCUUGAUAUUGAUGCUUGUCUUGUUUAUCAUAAGAACAAUAAAUAUUACAACUGUAUUUCUUGCUUUGAUCCUUGCACAAAAUAUCCAAAAGUGGUUUACACUUAGUAGGAAGUUAAAU